GGGUCUAAUAUUUUUUCUACAACAUAUUCAAAGCUCAUUAAAAUUGGUGAGGAACAGUUCUGUCCGUUCCCUUGUUAGAAGAAUCGAUGAAUAGUCUCUGCUCAUCAGACUUGUAACAUCCAGGUUUCAGUUUGUUCAUUCUCUGCACCACAUGAGUUUGCGACUUUUCAAGCAAAACGAGAUGUUCGUAAAAAUACGUAUAUAAACGUUUGAAAUUCAAUUUCUUGUUUUUUGUGACAAAGCGACGCUUUUUUCUGCCAGAUGUUUCUAAAAUUAGAUAAUCUGUCAUAUGAUAUAUUAAUGUUUUCCACUAGAAGACUGUGCGAUGUCCAAUAAUGCGAUGUUCAAUCGUGCGGUGUCCAAUCGUUACAUGUCCAAAAGGAGGUCACCCACCAAUUGUUCAUAUUUAAUUAUUUAUAAGCAAACAAAAUUGAAAAAAGCGAUUUUUUCAAAAAAUGUGAUUUUUAAAAAUCAUUUAAGAUUAGAGGCUAAAAAUUUUUUUCCAAAAUGUUUCACAUAUUAGAUUACUUUAUAAAUAAAUUAUAAGAUUUAGGAGGUGUGAAAGUGAAUAGUCGUAUGGCAGUGAUAGUGCAUAUGUGAUAAAAAUAAAAUGAAAAAAAUAGAAGUAAAUGGGAAGAGAGAAGAGUAAAGUUGCUGGGGAAUUGAAGGGAACGUGAUAAAAAUAGGAAGAAAGGAUAGAAGACGGGCAGAAAGAUCGCGGUUAGGGAGAUUAAGAUGCAUAAGCGAGCACGAGAAAAUGUAUAGAGAAGGGAGAGAAAAAGAGGUAAAAGGGGAUAGAAAAGGGCUAGAGAAUACGGAUAAGAGAAUUAAGUAAGGUAGAAAGGUGAGUUAAAAAAACGGAAAAGAAAAAUAGGAUAAGGCUAGAAAAUAAAGUGAACAAGAGAUAGAUAGGUUAUGUUCAUUUCAUCAGAAUUUAGAGAAAUAAUUAGACGAGAAAGAGAGGACGAGAAUGUACGUAGAUAAGAAAAAGAGAGUAAAGGAAAGAGUGGACUCAGAUCGCAGUCCCUAAGCGAUGAAACUGAAAAGCAGAAAGAAGAAGAGGAAAGGAUUGCAGAAAGAAAAUCAAGAAUAGGAGAGGAUGACGAAGCAGAGUGUAUACACGAGAAAAAAACGGAAAAGGCAAAUGAAUGGAGACUCGGAGUAACAAGGCAACAGAAUUCUGGAGAAUUCUGAAGAAAUUAUAGGAAACGAUCCAGAAAGCAACAAUAAAGAUAGGCGUAGAGGAAAGAAAAGGAACAGAUUUCAAGGUCUGGUAAAACAGGCUGUACAAGAAAGAAGAAGGGAACGUAAAGAAUUUUAAAGAGGUGAAAGAAAGAGUUACGAGAGAGGAUCGAUUAAAAAAAAAAAGAGUAAACUAAAAGGCCUUCUAGACCAGAAGCAAGAUAAAGAAAAUGAAGGAAGGAGAGGAAAUAGAUUUUGAAGUCUGAAAAGACAAUGGAAUUGUGAAAUACAUAACUAAGAAAAGAGGAGGAAAGAAGCGAAUAAGAAACAACAUAGUUAAGAAAGAAGGGAAAUCUACUUGGUGAAACUAUUGAAUAGAACAGAGUUGUAAAAGAGAGAAGAGACAAGAGGAAAUAUCAUUGUCAAGGUAAAGGAGCAAUAGACAUUAUUUAUUUUGAUCCAUACUGUGCAGAGAGGGAGAGAUAAGUAAAAGGUUUUUCACCCUCUUUAUGGAUGGAUUGGAAAGCAGCUUAUGAUAACAUAAAAGAGAAAAAUUUAAGUUGUAUACUAGGAUGUUUGUAUACUAGUUGUAUACUAGGAAUUAGGAAAGGUGAACUCAGACGAAUGGAAGAUUGAAAGAAGGUACAAGGACACAAAGGCAACAGUAAGGACAGAAAGAUUGGCAAAAGUUUUGCAGUACGAUGAAGAAAGACGGGGUUGUGAAAUGGGUCCUUUGGUUUUCAACUUUUAGACAGCGAAAUUAGAUAGGUACACGAAGAAUAGAAGAACAGAAGAUGUAUAAUUAGAUUAAGAGAGGAUAAGGUCACGAAAGGUGUAGAGAUAAUAGAAAGUAGAGAAAAAGGCUUUAAUAGAAAGGUUAGACGAAUAUAGUUAUAAGUAGUAAGAAGAUUGUAAACAGAGAAAAAAUGGAAUGAUAGAUGAAAGAAGAACAAUGACAUUUGAAUAGAUUGUAAUAUAGGUAGGGUUUUUGCGAUUAGAACGAUACAAUAGAAUAUGUUAUGUUAUGAUAAACAUGCUAGGAAAAGAAAAGAAAAAGGGUAACUAACAAGGUAUGAAAUCUAGGAGUAAGGAUUUACAGAAAUAAUUUUUAGUAGAGGAAGAUGAAAGGAUGUUUAG